GAACAUUGUCUCUUGUUAACUUGUUAAUUAGAGAAGCAGAACUGAUUACAGAGAGGAGUGUAGCUAAACUAUUCUCGCUAGAUUCUUGUGAAUAAACCAGAGCUAAAAUCGGUGUCAACAGAUCGGAGAAAUUAUAAUAGGAGUGGUCGCGAUGACUAUGCAGCUUCUUGUGUGUUUGUUUACACUCGUGAUUCAGCACCACGUACAGAAAACACAAGAUACGGGAUGGAAGCUCCGAGCUGUCACCGUCUAUGGGUAUCUUCUGUAACACGAGUGUUCCGGACAGAGUGAGGUCCACGUCUAACACCAUGUGGAUCAGAUUCCGGUCUGGCUCACAGUCAGGCACUGGCUUCA